AUUGAACGCUGGCGGAAUGCUUUACACAUGCAAGUCGAGCGGCAGCGCGGGGGCAACCCUGGCGGCGAGCGGCGAACGGGUGAGUAACAUAUCGGAACGUGCCCCGUCGUGGGGGAUAACACAGCGAAAGCUGUGCUAAUACCGCAUACGACCUGAGGGUGAAAGCGGGGGACCGCAAGGCCUCGCGCGAUGGGAGCGGCCGAUAUCGGAUUAGCUUGUUGGUGAGGUAAAGGCUCACCAAGGCGACGAUCCGUAGCUGGUCUGAGAGGACGACCAGCCACACUGGAACUGAGACACGGUCCAGACUCCUACGGGAGGCAGCAGUGGGGAAUUUUGGACGAUGGGGGAAACCCUGAUCCAGCCAUUCCGCGUGAGUGAAGAAGGCCUUCGGGUUGUAAAGCUCUUUCGGCAGGAACGAAACGGUGGCCACUAAUACUGGCUACUAAUGACGGUACCUGAAGAAGAAGCACCGGCUAACUACGUGCCAGCCGCCGCCGUAAGAC
rnacentral:rRNA from 1 species